UACGAAGGGGGGCUAGCGUUGUUCGGAAUUACUGGGCGUAAAGCGCACGUAGGCGGAUCGAUCAGUCAGGGGUGAAAUCCCCGCAGCUCAACUGCGGAACUGCCUUUGAUACUGUCGGUCUAGAGUAUGGAAGAGGUGAGUGGAAUUCCGAGUGUAGAGGUGAAAUUCGUAGAUAUUCGGAGGAACACCAGUGGCGAAGGCGGCUCACUGGUCCAUUACUGACGCUGAGGUGCGAAAAGCGUGGGGAGCAAACAGG
rnacentral:rRNA from 1 species